UCCAAAGUAUGCAAAGGAGACAUAUUUGAGAAACCCAGAAGUCUGAGGAAAUGAGCAAGUACACAAAGCAGCACUUCAUGUUGUGUGCCUCCUCAAGCCAAAACAUUAAGGCUGAAGGCAGAUAUUCAUUUGUGAAACAGCUUCUGCAAUUACAGAGUUAGCUGCUCUACCUUGUUUGUCCUGCACCAAAUACCGCUGUCAUGAGGGAAAGGUGUGUCUCCUCACAGAAGGAGCACAACUGAUUCCUGCCCACCUGCUCUGAGGGGCUGCAAGAAAGGUGAGAUCUACAGGGACAAUGGCUCUACUUCCUGCAUGAAGCAUGGAACAGAUCGAUGGAGCUGUGCCAUCGUGGGCAGUUAGAACCAAGCUGAGCAAAGCCCUCAUCCUGCCAUCUUUCUGGGAUCCUUGGUUUGAAGCAGUUGACAAUGUCAGCCUGUGAGUGAGGAAUUUUG
ensembl:lncRNA